GGUCCAGUUGGCAGUCGGGGCUACUGUAAACAUCCUUGACUGGAAGCUGGUGUUGAUUUCUGGGGCUUUCAGUCGGAUGUUUGCAGGAGCCAACUGCUAGUUCC
ensembl:miRNA mir30a microRNA mir-30a